AAAUAAAUUCAGCAGCAUCCAAGGUUAAAAUUUAUGAUAAUGGAUGACUGAUAUCAGUGAUGUAGCUGCAACAGCAACAACGAUUCGAUGUGAAUGAAAAACAUAGAACAUGAACGCAAUAGAAUGGUGUUUAAUCGCAACAUGAUGAUGUUGCAGCUACAGUGGACAUACAUGACAAAACAACGUUCACAAACGGCUCCAUUUACCUAAUUCUCUUGAGCUGACAAUCUCACAUCGAUGCUCAAACAUGUGUUGUGGAUGUGCUAGCUACUGAGUAGUGAUGGCUAUGGUGCCAGUGUGUGGGGGCUGUCAAUGAGUGAAAUUAGGAGGCGGUCGUUGGUUUACUGUGAUGAAGCCGAGAGAGGAGUCCAGAAAAUUGAGGGAGAGAUCAGGAGCUAUAGAAGGAAAAACUCGUCUCCUUGGUGGUGUGAUGAGAAGGACACCAGAUGCGAUUAUACUAAUAUUGGAUGAGGCCUUGAGUAGAAAUUGAGAGAAAAACGGUAUGGAUGGGCCUAUGCUUUAGAGGUCCGGAGUAUAAGGUAGAUGUUCUGGCAUGCAACAUGCUGGACUAUCUGGUUGAGCAGGAAUAUAUAGUAUUAUUUUUAAAGGGGGACUAGCCGAACCUCGAGGAAUGUUGCAGCUGUAUAAAGGAGGGGCUAAACCGGGGUACUUUUAUUCAUCUUGGUGCAUGAACCCUUUGGGGGGAUUGGUAUAGUGAUAUGUUUUAGUUUUGAUUAACAGAUCUGUUUUGUGUUUUUUAAGGGGGUAUAGAAUGAUAGAAAUUCACUCUUUUUUGUUUAAUUGUCAUACUGUACAGCUUGUGCAUGCAGAACUGAUGUACAACCUGCUACUUCAAUUUCUUAUCACUAAGCUGACCCUAGUCACUUAUAUUGAAAUGUGUGUUACAGAAUAAAGAACUGAUUUUAUGUAUUUA